rnacentral:rRNA from 1 species
GGCUACUCCUACGGAGGCAGCAGUGGGGAAUAUUGCACAAUGGGCGAAAGCCUGAUGCAGCGACGCCGCGUGAGGGAUGACGGCCUUCGGGUUGUAAACCUCUUUCAGCAGGGAAGAAGCGAAAGUGACGGUACCUGCAGAAGAAGCGCCGGCUAACUACGUGCCAGCAGCCGCGGUAAUACGUAGGGCGCAAGCGUUGUCCGGAAUUAUUGGGCGUAAAGAGCUCGUAGGCGGCUUGUCGCGUCGGUUGUGAAAGCCCGGGGCUUAACCCCGGGUCUGCAGUCGAUACGGGCAGGCUAGAGUUCGGUAGGGGAGAUCGGAAUUCCUGGUGUAGCGGUGAAAUGCGCAGAUAUCAGGAGGAACCACCGGUGGCGAAGGCGGAUCUCUGGGCCGAUACUGACGCUGAGGAGCGAAAGCGUGGGGAGCGAACAGGAUUAGAUACCCUGGUAGUCCACGCCGUAAACGGUGGGCACUAGGUGUGGGCAACAUUCCACGUUGUCCGUGCCGCAGCUAACGCAUUAAGUGCCCCGCCUGGGGAGUACGGCCGCAAGGCUAAAACUCAAAGGAAUUGACGGGGGCCCGCACAAGCGGCGGAGCAUGUGGCUUAAUUCGACGCAACGCGAAGAACCUUACCAAGGCUUGACAUACACCGGAAACAUCCAGAGUAUGGUGCCCG